rnacentral:ncRNA from 2 species
UAGAAACGCACGGGGUGCCUGACGAAAGUUGGGCUGAGACGAUACCCGAACACCUGAUUUGGAUAAUGCCAACGGAGGGAUGCUUUAUAAAAUAUUC